ACAACAGCCCCUCAGUAAGUGGUGGAGGGGGAGGCACACCCAGAGCUGCGUGCCUGAGGGCCCAGCAGGACAGACGCCCAGAUGCGGGGCACAGCAUGAAGGACUGGCCUUGCUUCGUCCUCUCCUGCUCAGCCCAGCCAGGACGGUUGGGGGUGCGAGUGAGGGAGACCCCUCCAGGCGCUGCCACAGUGCAGGUGGGCAAGGUGCCCUGAGGGCAGAACCUCUUCUCAACUCAAGCCUUACCCGGCCACGCAGUGUGGACGGCUGGUUUUUAGUAUAUGAGAAAACCAGGUGUAGUGGCUUGAACAGUGUCCCCUAAAGUCCGUGUCCACUCUGAGCCUCAAAGUGUGACCUUAUAUGGGAAAAGGGUCUCUACAAAGGUAAUCGAUCAUCCCAGAUUUAGAGUGGGCCCAAACUCUAACUAGACUUAUGUCCCUGUAAGAGCAGGAGAGGACAGAGACCCAGAGCGGGAAGCAGGGAGGGGGUGAUAUGAGGCCGAGCAAUACCAGGAGCCCCCAGAAGCUGGAAGAGGCGAGGAAGGAUCUUCCCCGAGAGCCUCUGGAAAGAGUGUGGCCCUGCCACCACCUCGGUUUUGGACUUCAGCUUCCAGGACUAACCCAACAUCAGCAGAGAAUAUUGGCACGUUCAAGGCAUACAGAAGUCACUGUGGAAGGGAAUCUGAGCAGGGAGCUAGAAAGAACAGCUGAGUUGUUCCUCCCUCUUUUUGGCCGAGCCCCCUCCAGCUUCUGGCCAGCAGCCUAGAAGAGCAGAAAGGAAUCAGCAGUGCUUGCUGGACACCUCCACAGUGCCCAGAAAAUCCCCGGGAGGACCAGAGCUCACUGGUCCCAGUCAGAAAUAAAGUCUCCCAGACCGGAUCCAACGGUCUCACUUUCUA